GCCUUUGUGGUGUAGUGGUCAGCACUCUAGACGUGUAUUCGAGAGGUCCGUGGGUCGAGUCCGGGCAAAGGCA
rnacentral:tRNA from 1 species